rnacentral:misc_RNA from 1 species
ACGAUUUGAAAGGGAAUGUCUAGUGCUGGGGACCUUGAUUGAGAACCGUGCACAUUCUUCCUUACUCAUCCAUCUUACCACUGUGAACCUUUUGUAGGGUCUUGCGAAAGUGAGGCUCUAUGUUUUUACACACCCCAUUGUAUGUCCUUAGAAUGUCUAUGUAUCUAGUAUGCUCGUGAGGGCAGAAAGAAACAAAUAUA